UACAGAGGGUGCAAACGUUGCUCGGAAUCAUUGGGCGUAAAGGGCGCGUAGGCGGCCACCGCAAGUCGGUUGUGAAAUCUCCGGGCUUAACCCGGAAAGGUCAAUCGAUACUGCGGGGCUAGAGUGCAGAAGGGGCAACUGGAAUUCUCGGUGUAGCGGUGAAAUGCGUAGAUAUCGAGAGGAACACCUGCGGCGAAGGCGGGUUGCUGGGCUGACACUGACGCUGAGGCGCGAAAGCUAGGGGAGCGAACGGG
rnacentral:rRNA from 1 species